GCCAGACUCCUACGGGAGGCAGCAGUGGGGAAUAUUGCACAAUGGGGGAAACCCUGAUGCAGCAACGCCGCGUGAGUGAGGAGGUAUUUCGGUAUGUAAAGCUCUCUCAGCAGGGAAUAGAAAAGAAGGUACCUGAAAAAGAAGCCCCGGCUAACUACGUGCCAGCAGCCGCGGUAAUACGUAGGGGGCAAGCGUUAUCCGGAUUUACUGGGUGUAAAGGGGGCGCAGACGGCAGCGCAAGCCAGGAGUGAAAGCCCGGGGCCCAACCCCGGGACUGCUCUUGGAACUGCGCGGCUGGAGUGCAGGAGGGGCAGGCGGAAUUCCUGGUGUAGCGGUGAAAUGCGUAGAUAUCAGGAGGAACACCAGUGGCGAAGGCGGCUUACUGGACUGUAACUGACGUUGAGGCUCGAAAGCGUGGGGAGCAAACAGGAUUAGAUACCCGUGUA
rnacentral:rRNA from 1 species